UGCCAGCAGCCGCGGUAAUACGGAGGGGGUUAGCGUUGUUCGGAAUUACUGGGCGUAAGGCGCACGUAGGCGGUUUAUUAAGUCGGAUGUGAAAGCCCUGGGCUCAACCUGGGAACUGCACUCGAUACUGGUAAACUAGAAUUUGGGAGAGGUAAGUGGAAUUUCCGGUGUAGCGGUGAAAUGCAUAGAGAUCGGAAGGAACACCAGUGGCGAAGGCAACUUACUGGACCAAAAUUGACGCUGAGGCGCGAAAGCUAGGGGAGCAAACAGGAUUAGAUA
rnacentral:rRNA from 1 species